UUAAAGUGGACAUGCACAUGUGAGUGUCAUUGCCUGGAAUUAACUACCUUUCGCAGUGAUUGCAAGCACUGAGUAAAACAGCAGGAGAAAAUUUUGGAACAUUGGAAAUCUUGUCUUGAAGGCCAGAGUUUCCUCUUCAUGGCACAUUAUUUGACUUGAACAAAUUUCCUAUUGCAACCAGCAAAAUCCCUAAAAAGAUAAGAUUUAUCAGUCCAUUUUUUAACUGAUUUUUUUAAUGUCUGUAGGCAUUGAAAUUGGGAAUAGAGUAAACAAUGGUGGAGGUUGUUGGAUGGGAGUAGCAUGAAACUAUGAUGAGUUUUCAUUUGCACGCAUAAUCCCGGCCUGUGCCAAAAUGGGAUAUUUGGAACAGGGUAUGGUCAUCCAUCAAUACAUAAUGGAAGGGAAAUUACAGUUGAAAAUGCUCUGGUAGACAUGCUUGCAACAUGUUGAAGCAUAGACAAGGCACGUGAACUGUUUGACAAUAUGCCUCAAAGAAAUGUGGUUUCGUCGAAUGCUAUGAUUGCGGGAUAUUAACAAAAUGGGUUUAUUGAAAAGGUUUUACAAACUUCCAACUAAAUGCAAUUGGCAGGUGUAAAGCUAGACUCUACAAGCUUUGCCAGCAUCCUCCUAGCCUGUACCAAAUGGGAGCUUUGGAACAGGGUAUGGACAUCCAUCAAAGCUUAAAGGGUUGAGGAAUUAUAUCAGAUGAUAUAGCUGCAACUGCCCUGGUAGAAAAUGUAUGCAAAAUGUGGAAGCAUAGACAGAGCACGUAAUCUGUUUGACAAAAUGCCUCUAAGAAUUGUUUACAGAAUGCCAUGAUUGUAGGUUAUGCAAAAUGAGAAAGUAUAGACAAGGCACCUGAACUGUUUGACAGAAUGCUCCAAAGUGUACUGUUCUAGUAGAACGCCCUGAUCGUGGAAAUUUAACAAAAUGGGUUUCUUGAAAAUGCUUUAUAGACUUCCAACCAAAUGCAAGUGGCAGGUGUAAAGCUAGACUCUACAACCUUUGCCUGCAUCCUCCUAGCCCGUGCCAAAUGGGAGUGCUUUGGAACAGGGUAUGGAUAUCCAUCAGAUGUUGUAGCUGCAACUGCCCUUGUAGACAUGUAUGCAAAAUUUGGAAGCAUAGAUAAGGCAUGCGAGCUUUUUGACAGAAUGCCUCUAAGAAUUGUUUAGAGGCUGCAAUGAUUAUAGGAUGCGUGAAAUGUGGAAACAUAGCCAGGGUACCUGAACUGUUUGACAGAAUGCCUCAAAGCGCACUGUUCUAGUGGAAUGCCUUGGAUUGCGGUGGGUUUGUUGAAAAGGCCUUAGAAGCUUCCAAUCAAAUGCAAUUGGCAGGUAUAAAGCCAGACUCUACAAACUUUUCCAGCAUCCUUGCAGCCUAUGCCAAAUGGGAGCUUCGGAACAGGUAUGGACAUCCAUCAAAGCAUAAAGGAUAAAAGAAUUUUGACAGAGGUGGUUGCAACAACUGUGCUAGACAUUUAUGCAAAGGUGGUUGCAUAUUUUAAAACCCACAUAUUCAAUUUCUAAUUUUCUGAAGUCAUUUUCAUAUCAUAUUCAACUGUAUAGUUCCUUUGUUUGAAUUAACUGUUAGAAUAAGACACCAUGAACCAAUUCAAAUAAGACAUGGACAUGUAGUUGAUUUACUCACCAACUAGAAGCAUUUAGUCAUACAUGAUAAUGUCUAAAAGGUGCAUGGCUAUUUUCCUAGUUAUUUGGAACAACAUCAAAUGAAUAUAAUCACCCCUCUACCUAUUAUGUAGAAUAUAAUGAAUAGACAACCUUUUAACGUUGGUUAUCAUUAUUUUGAUA